AGCGAACGCUGGCGGCAGGCCUAACACAUGCAAGUCGAACGGACCCUUCGGGGUUAGUGGCGGACGGGUGAGUAACACGUGGGAACGUGCCUUUAGGUUCGGAAUAGCUCCUGGAAACGGGUGGUAAUGCCGAAUGUGCCCUUCGGGGGAAAGAUUUAUCGCCUUUAGAGCGGCCCGCGUCUGAUUAGCUAGUUGGUGAGGUAAUGGCUCACCAAGGCGACGAUCAGUAGCUGGUCUGAGAGGAUGACCAGCCACAUUGGGACUGAGACACGGCCCAAACUCCUACGGGAGGCAGCAGUGGGGAAUCUUGCGCAAUGGGCGAAAGCCUGACGCAGCCAUGCCGCGUGGAUGAUGAAGGUCUUAGGAUUGUAAAAUCCUUCCACCGGUGAAGAUAAUGACUGUAGCCGGAGAAGAAGCCCCGGCUAACUUCGUGCCAGCCGCCGCUGUAACAC
rnacentral:rRNA from 1 species